ensembl:lncRNA
CAGAGAUGGUUCAAGGGGUGAAAACUGUUUGCUAAGUCUGGGCAUUUGUGGAUAGUGUGAUGGUGUCCUCUAUAGUAGCAACUUGGAAGUGAAUCUGCAACCUAUGCUGACUCAGGUUUUUAAGAAGUGUAAAUGAAGAACAACUUCAAGAGUAACUGGGGAUUUGUCUCAGUUGCAUUAUUGCCAUUGAAUGUCACAUGUUUUGUAAGGAACAGAGUCAGAGAGACACAUUUCUGGAUGAGAGUGAUACAAACGAUCGUAAUAACCCUGCGCAAAGAUUCACUCUUGCCAGUGCAAAAGCCCAACAGAAUUGCCCCAGAUGAUUUCUCAGCAAAUCUAUUGGUACAGUUAUAUCAAGGGAAUAAAACCAUGUCUGCAGAUAAUUCCCAUGGUCUUAUUAUCAUUAUGGCAAAGUUAGUGUUGCCAUUGCCUUCUUCAUCUUCAGAAAAAAUGUGUUUUGCUGGAUCUCAAUAGAACUGAAAAUGCUGGUUGGAAUUUUUCCUCUG